rfam:Lingula anatina scaffold540, whole genome shotgun sequence.
ACAAAGGCCCUUUUCAGGGCCACCCACAUCUUCCUAGAAAAGCUGU